rnacentral:lncRNA from 1 species
CGACAUUUUUUCUGCAAAUUGGUACAUUUGACCAGCUUAUGAUCUAUUUGACACGUUUAGCAGGUUAUGAGCCUAAAAUCAUGACAAUCAAGUAUCAUGACCCAGGGCUGCCAAGCCAUUUGUCUAUGAUAGAUGUGAGCGAUGAUUAUGAAGCAGCACGUAUAUUGAAAAAGCCUUCUCCCAUUACAAUACAUGUCACACCAAUCAAUUGAUCCAUAUUCCCCGGAAAAUUGGCCUACAAUGGUUGACAUUGGUCCAUCAAUGAGAGACACAUAAGAUGAUUGCCAAAUUUUAUGGUUUCUAUUGAAAAAUACGGUUCAUUGAAAGCAAUCAAACACUUAUUUUGUUGGCGGCCGGACUCAAGAAUAAGUCGUGCCCAAGGAAGGUGUUAUCAUAGGUCAAGAUGUUGAAACUGAGACAGAGAUACGUGUUAUCAUAGGUCUAGAUGUUGAAACUGAGACAGAGAUUGAAUGCAACAUUGACAUCAGUGGAAAGCCCCAUAAGAAUGACUAUCAUACUUCAGCUGGUUGUUAAAAUAUGUAGCUAUGGCUUCAGCUGCUGAACAAGACCACCGGAUUUUACUUCUUUCCUUUCGCUUUCUAGUGUUUUGAAUAUUCCUCAUUACAGGAUCUCCCUUUGUAUUAAAUGGAACUUAUUUUUUAUAUUAAUGAAACCAGG